rnacentral:rRNA from 1 species
AUUGAACGCUGGCGGCAUGCCUUACACAUGCAAGUCGAACGGUAACAGGUCUUCGGAUGCUGACGAGUGGCGAACGGGUGAGUAAUACAUCGGAACGUGCCCGAUCGUGGGGGAUAACGAAGCGAAAGCUUUGCUAAUACCGCAUAAGAUCUAAGGAUGAAAGCAGGGGACCGCAAGGCCUUGCGCGAACGGAGCGGCCGAUGGCAGAUUAGGUAGUUGGUGGGAUAAAAGCUUACCAAGCCGACGAUCUGUAGCUGGUCUGAGAGGACGACCAGCCACACUGGGACUGAGACACGGCCCAGACUCCUACGGGAGGCAGCAGUGGGGAAUUUUGGACAAUGGGCGCAAGCCUGAUCCAGCCAUGCCGCGUGCAGGAUGAAGGCCUUCGGGUUGUAAGCUGCUUUUGUACGGAACGAAAAGACUCUGGUUAAUACCUGGGGUUCAUGACGGUACCGUAAGAAUAAGCACCGGCUAACUACGUGCCAGCAGCCGCGGUAAUAC